UUUUUCAACAAAUAGUAGCUAAUGUAUGUGCACAAAUAUAUAAAAAAUAUUAAUUAAUUCCAUGUCAAUUCGCGAUUGCUUAACUCUUAAAUUUAUUAUACACAUCUGCGAUAUAUUUGUUGAAAAACUGGAACAUUUGAAAAUGUUGGUGUGGUGAUGCAUUAUUAUGUUACAAAUGUUCUGUAGCUGUAGAAAAAUAUGUUCUCGACAAUGAAACCAUUAUUACUCCGUUAUGCUCAAGGUUUAAAGACUCAACCGAUUAUAUAGUGCAAUGUCCAUAUUCAACGAUGUGCCUAAAGUCAAUACUAAUAUUACACCUGCCAAGUGGAAAGUCACAGGAAACAAUCACAAGGGGAU